GACAGGUGUGCCCUGCAGCUACCCGAGCCCACUGCGUCGAAUGAGGCUCAAACAGUCAAAAGCUGAGGGUCUCUUCCAGCAGCCUCUGCAAAGACUUAGACAUGUCCACCUCAUGAAUCUGCAGAGGCAGGCUGGCAAGUGGUCACGAACAGGCCAUCUCCCAAGAUCUCCUGUGCUUUCUCUUAUGCUGCUGCCUAGGCCACAUGUCCCGGGAGGAGCUUUCCUCAGGCUGAGUCAGCACUUAGGCUGCCAGCUGUGGCAGAGGCCAGAUGGAAGGGGCGUGGACCGGAAAAAUAAUGAAGGCAUAUGCCCUCCAGUUUUUCUUGUUCUAUUUUGAGUUGCUUUAGGGUUUAAAUUUUUUUUAAGCUGUUUUAUCUCUGAUUUCUUUCUUUUUUCUUUUUUUUUUAAAGGAAUUGUGAAAAGAGAAAGUGUUGGGCAAAAAGACAAGGAACUGAAAAAAAAUCUCGAAGUCAAUUCGUGCAACAUUUGCAAAGAAGGCUCAAGGUCACUGUGGAGCUGGCCCCUGGUGACCAUAUGACAGCUUAGGGACAGAGAGUAGCAAGCACCCACAAACAAUUGGGAGAAGGUGCAAAUGGAUCACAGCAUGCAGAUUCCCAGGAACUUUCAAAAUCUAUCUCAGAAGGUGGAAAGGAAAACAACGACUAAGAAAAUAUAUGGAGAACAAAAAUGACCGACGUUAAAGGGAGUGGAUAUUCUAACAUAAAAUUAACAAGUGGUGAAAUUCUGGCCAAAGACAAGAGGAUGAAAUGACAGCAGACUUCUCACGAGUGCAGAUGACUGAAGGGAUGUGAGUUAAGACUGUGAUCUGUUUGCCAUACGCAUGCAAGUGGGACCAGGAACCGUGGAAGUUCUACGUAAGUUGUACAUCUGAAGGAGCCAUUUCACUUCUGGGUGCCACUGUUGCAAGCUGACAGGCACACUGGAUAAUAAUGAGGUGGGACACUCAGAGCUGAUCCACACUGUGACACAGAAGUCGUUAAUGAAGUGGAGAUGUUUAGCUAGGAAUGUCCUUCAAGACAUAAAGAGCUAUCUUCAAACACUUGACAGUGGUCACGAGAAUAAAAUUAAACUUCGACAAGAUGACAGAGCUAUCUUCUUAAAAAAAAAAAAUGGAAACAAUCUGAGUUACAUUCAGGCCUCUUGAUACUAAAGCCUUCUGAAGCACUAGAAGCAUCAAAGCGUUCCCCUAUGGAACCGUAAGUAUAGCUUCAUUUGGUCUUACCUUUAAGGAGACUUGAUUUAUUACUGCUACCUUCAGUCUUCUCUUUCUGAAACUAUCCCAAGAGUCUACCUCAAUAGGUCUGUGGUCUGCCCUUAAGAAUGGAAUGGUUAUCAGCUUCUGAGAUGGGAUGGAGACAUUUGAAUUAAAUAUCUGCCUCAACCAAAAGGAAGCAGGACACGGCACAUGUCCUAUUUUUCCAUAUGAUAUAUGGAUGGAAAGAAAGAGGGAUUUAGUCCUGUACAGGCAAUAUCUCCAUUUGCUGGAUCCAAUGGUACUUAUACUUCUAGCACUCAGGAGACUAAUGCAAGAAGAUUCCAAGUUCCAAUCUAGCUUGGGCUCACAACAAGACAUUGUCUCAAACAAACAAAAACACAGAAAAGAAAAAAAAACAACAAUAAAACAUUUGGAGACCACAGUGGUUUGAAUGAGAAUGGGCCCCCAUUGGCUCCUAUGUUUGAUACUUAGACCCCAGUUGAUUGAACUGUUUGGGAAGGAUUAGGAGGAGUGACCUUGUUGGAAGUGGUACGUUACUUGGGGUGGAUCUUGAGGUUUGGGAAGACUGGUGCCAUUCCCAGUGGGCUCUCUGCUCCCUGCUUGUCAUUCAAAUUAUUCCAGCCUUCACUCAGCCCUCAUGGAAUGAUACGCCCAAUUAAGCUUUCCUUUAUAAGUUGUCUUGGUCAUGGUGUUCUACCACAGAAAUAUUAAAGUAACUAAUGCAGAGACUGAC